rnacentral:rRNA from 1 species
CCUACGGGAGGCAGCAGUGAGGAAUAUUGGUCAAUGGGCGUAAGCCUGAACCAGCCAAGCCGCGUGAGGGAUGAAGGUUCUAUGUAUCGUAAACCUCUUUUGUAAGGGAAUAAAGUCCGGGACGUGUCCCGGGUUGAAUGUACCUUAUGAAUAAGGAUCGGCUAACUCCGUGCCAGCAGCCGCGGUAAUACGGAGGAUCCGAGCGUUAUCCGGAUUUAUUGGGUUUAAAGGGUGCGUAGGCGGUCUUUUAAGUCAGCGGUGAAAGUCUGUGGCUCAACCAGAGAACUGCCGUUGAAACUGGGAGGCUAGAGAAGGAUUGAGGUAGGCGGAAUGCGCGGUGUAGCGGUGAAAGGCAUAGAUAUCACGCAGAACUCCGAUUGCGAAGGCAGCCUGCCAAGUCAUGACUGACGCUGAGGCACGAAAGCGUGGGGAUCAAACAGGAUUAGAUACCCUAGUAGUC